rnacentral:rRNA from 1 species
AGAGUUUGAUCCUGGCUCAAAAUCAACGCUGGCGGCGUGCCUCAGACAUGCAAGUCGAACGCGAAAGUUCCCUUCGGGGGACCGGUAGAGCGGCGCACGGGUGAGUAACACGUGGGUAAUUUACCUUCGGGUGGGGAAUAACAGUCGGAAACGACUGCUAAUACCGCAUAAUGCAGCGGCACCACAUGAUGACAGUUGUUAAAGCGGGGGAUCGCAAGACCUCGCGCCUGAAAAGAAGCCCGCGGCGGAUUAGCUAGUUGGUGAGGUAAUGGCUCACCAAGGCGUCGAUCCGUAGCCGGCCUGAGAGGGCGGUCGGCCACACUGACACUGAAUAACGGGUCAUACUCCUACGGGAGGCAGCAGUCGGUUUUUUUGGGCAAUGGGCGCAAGCCUGACCCAGCAACGCCGCGUGAAGGAUGAAAUCUUUCGGGAUGUAAACUUCACAAUAACGGGAAGAAUAAGUAAGGCUUAAUACUCCUUACGAUGACGGUACUGUUUGUAAGCUCCGGCUAACUCCGUGCCAGCAGCCGCGGUAGUACGGGGGGAGCAAGCGUUGUUCAUAUUUACUGGGCGUAAAGGGCGCGUAGGCGGCGCAACAAGUCUCUUGUGAUAUCUUCAGGCUUAACCUGAAGCGGCCAAGUGAUACUGUCGU